rnacentral:rRNA from 1 species
CAACCUGAGAGUUUGAUCCUGGCUCAGAACGAACGCUGGCGGCAUGCCUAACACAUGCAAGUCGAACGCCCCGCAAGGGGAGUGGCGAACGGGUGAGUAACGCGUGGGAACCUACCCAGCAGUUGGGGAUAACC